rnacentral:rRNA from 1 species
UGAUGGUGAUGUACAACCUCACCAGAGUACCAAUUGGAGGGCAAGUCUGGUGCCAGCAGCCGCGGUAAUUCCAGCUCCAAUAGCGUAUAUUAAACUUGUUGCAGUUAAAAAGCUCGUAGUUGUAUUUCAGCCUCGCGUUUUUUCCCUUUUGUUGGGUCUUUUCGCUGGCUUUGUUUUUACUUUGAGAAAAUUAGAGUGUUUCAAGCAGACUUUUGUCUUGAAUACUUCAGCAUGGAAUAAUAGAGUAAGACCUUGGUUCUAUUUUGUUGGUUUUGAGCCUUGGUAAUGGUUAAUAGGAACGGUUGGGGGCAUUCGUAUUUAACUGUCAGAGGGGAAAUUCUUAGAU